rnacentral:lncRNA from 1 species
GGAUUGGGAGCCUCCAAUUGAGUUGUGGAGCUAGCCCCAGUCAAGUUUGUAAAGGUCCGGUCUUCGCCUUUAAGGAAGCCAUUAGUGGAGCUCACUCACCUUUGUGGUGCCGUGAGAGGAGAAUAGAGUGAGCCUUUGUGGCGUCUCUACCUUUGUGGUAGAGCAUUCCUCCAAACGGAGACGUACACCUCCCUCAAUCGGUGGAACUCCGGUGAAAUCUUCGUCUCUCGUGUGGUAUCCAUUAUUACCCUUUACAUUCUUGUUAUCUAGUUGCUUCGGCUAUUGCACUUCAUCUUAGGGUUGCAUUACCUUUAGAAAAUUUAGUAACCCUAGGUUAAGUGUUUGUAUCUUUCUAGAAAAGAAAAAGAAAAAUAUUAAAAUUUGUUAGUCGCCUAUUCACCCCCCCUCUAGCCGACCAUACCGAUCUUUCAUCUUCUUAGGAUACCUAAGGGGGUCAAGAAAAAAUUAGACUUCUUUCGGGCUCAUUUACUCUGGCAAGAAGAUAAAGGUAGAAAGAAAUAUCAUUUGGUAAAUUGGGAGGAGAUUUGCCAGCC